UACGUAGGGGGCAAGCGUUGUCCGGAUUUAUUGGGCGUAAAGAGCGUGUAGGCGGUUAGGUAGGUCCGUUGUGAAAUCCCUGGGCUCAACCCAGGAAUUGCUUCGGAUACUGGCGUGCUUGAGGCCGGUAGGGGUCACUGGAACUGACGGUGGAGCGGUGAAAUGCGUAGAUAUCGUCAGGAACGCCGAUGGUGAAGACAGGUGACUGGGCCGGAACUGACACUGAGGCACGAAAGCGUGGGGAGCGAACGGGG
rnacentral:rRNA from 1 species